rnacentral:lncRNA from 1 species
GGGGCUGCUACCCUGGCAACCGCUUUCAACACAAGGCCUGGCUUGGGCUGCUGGCCAGGUCUAGAAGCUUCUAGCUGUGCGCGAGCCUCAAGGACAGUUUAGUGAUAGCUAUUCCCAUCCGAUUGCGAGAUCCAGCUCUCUAUUAUGCUUCAAUAUGGACUUUGCGGUUGAUAUUUCACUACUGAUUGAUCAUCAGUAGCAAAUGAGCUCUGCUCACACAGGUGCAUCCCAGUUUUUACAUUACUGAAUGAUUUUAUAACUUUUCAGAAUACCCUGAAGUUGUAAAAAUGCAAUUAUAAAACAAAUACAUCUAAUUCAAAAUAAAAACAUUAACAACAUUAUGGAACUGUGCA